GACGAACGCUGGCGGCGUGCUUAACACAUGCAAGUCGAACGGAAAGGCCCUGCUUUUGUGGGGUGCUCGAGUGGCGAACGGGUGAGUAACACGUGAGUAACCUGCCCUUGACUUUGGGAUAACUUCACGAAACUGGGGCUCAUAUCGGAUAGGAGCUCCUGCUGCGUGGUGGGGGUUGGUAAGUUUCGGCGGUGGGGGCUGGACUCGCGGCUUAUCUGCUUGUUGGUGGGGUAGUUGCUUACCAAGGCUUUGACGGGUAGCCGGCCUGGGAGGGUGACCGGCCACAUUGCGACUGAGAUACGGCCCAGACUCCUACGGGAGGCAGCAGUGGGGAAUAUUGCACAAUGGGCGGAAGCCUGAUGCAGCAACGCCGCGUGCGGGAUGACGGCCUUCGGGUUGUAAACCGCUUUCGCCUGUGACGAAGAGUGAGUGACGGUAAUGGGUAAAGAAGCCCCGGCUAACUACGUG
rnacentral:rRNA from 1 species